rnacentral:rRNA from 1 species
GAUAUGGCGCAGCUACACAUGCAAGUCGAGCGGUAGAGAGAAGCUUGCUUCCUCCUUGAGAGCGGCGGACGGGUGAGUAAUGCCUAGGAAUCUGCCUGGUAGUGGGGGAUAACGUCCGGAAACGGACGCUAAUACCGCAUACGUCCUACGGGAGAAAGCAGGGGACCUUCGGGCCUUGCGCUAUCAGAUGAGCCUAGGUCGGAUUAGCUAGUUGGUGGGGUAAUGGCUCACCAAGGCGACGAUCCGUAACUGGUCUGAGAGGAUGAUCAGUCACACUGGAACUGAGACACGGUCCAGACUCCUACGGGAGGCAGCAGUGGGGAAUAUUGGACAAUGGGCGAAAGCCUGAUCCAGCCAUGCCGCGUGUGUGAAGAAGGUCUUCGGAUUGUAAAGCACUUUAAGUUGGGAGGAAGGGCAGUAAAUUAAUACUUUGCUGUUUUGACGUUACCGACAGAAUAAGCACCGGCUAACUCUGUGCCAGCAGCCGCGGUAAUACAGAGGGUGCAAGCGUUAAUCGGAAUUACUGGGCGUAAAGCGCGCGUAGGUGGUUCGUUAAGUUGGAUGUGAAAUCCCCGGGCUCAACCUGGGAACUGCAUUCAAAACUGACGAGCUAGAGUAUGGUAGAGGGUGGUGGAAUUUCCUGUGUAGCGGUGAAAUGCGUAGAUAUAGGAAGGAACACCAGUGGCGAAAGCGACCAUCUGGACUGAUACUGACACUGAGUGCGAAAGCGUGGGGAGCAAACAGAUUAGAUACCCUGGUAGUCCACGCGUAACGAUGUCAACUAGCCGUUGGGAGCCUUGAGCUCUUAGUGGCGCAGCUACGCAUUAGUUGACCGCCUGGGGAGUACGCCGCAAGUUAAAACUCAAUGAAUUGACGGGGCCGCACAAGCGUGGAGCAUGUGGUUUAUUCGAGCACGCGAGACUUACAGCUGACAUCCAUGACCUUUCUAGAGAUAGAUGUGCUUCGACAUGAAACAGGUGCUGCAUGCUGUCUCAGCUCAUUCUUGGAAUGUAGGUAGUUCGUACGAGCGCACAUUGUCUUAGUACAGCACGUAAUGGUGGCACUCUCGAGGAACUGCAGUACAAUCCGAGACAUCGUGGAUUGACUUCAAGUCUAUGCUUCAGCUGGCUAACAGUCUUAAAG